AUUGAACGCUGGCGGCAGGCCUAACACAUGCAAGUCGAACGGUAACAGGAAGAAGCUUGCUUCUUUGCUGACGAGUGGCGGACGGGUGAGUAAUGUCUGGGAAACUGCCUGAUGGAGGGGGAUAACUACUGGAAACGGUAGCUAAUACCGCAUAACGUCGCCAGACCAAAGAGGGGGACCUUCGGGCCUCUUGCCAUCGGAUGUGCCCAGAUGGGAUUAGCUAGUAGGUGGGGUAACGGCUCACCUAGGCGACGAUCCCUAGCUGGUCUGAGAGGAUGACCAGCCACACUGGAACUGAGACACGGUCCAGACUCCUACGGGAGGCAGCAGUGGGGAAUAUUGCACAAUGGGCGCAAGCCUGAUGCAGCCAUGCCGCGUGUAUGAAGAAGGCCUUCGGGUUGUAAAGUACUUUCAGCGGGGAGGAAGGGAGUAAAGUUAAUACCUUGGCUCAUUGACGUUACCCGCAGAAGAAGCACCGGCUAACUCCGUG
rnacentral:rRNA from 1 species